ensembl:snRNA U6 U6 spliceosomal RNA
AUGCUCACUUUGGCAGCACAUAUACUAAAACUGGAACAUACUGAUAAAAUUAACAUGGCUCCUGUGCAAGGAUGACACACACAUGCAGAAAGCAUUCCACAUUUUC